CAUUCCGCAAAUCCUUCCUGUUUAUAGUGUAUUGAAUCAAAAGCGGAACUACGAUUACGCAUUUAAUUUUUUUAGACCUGUUGGUAAAUUUUUACAUAUAAAUUUAUGGCGGAUGAAGAGACUAGUGUGAGAUUGUUGACAGAAGAUAGAGAGCACAGAUGAUGACAUGCUGCUAAAUCUGGGAUUGGAAGGCACCUGCAAAAAAGCAUCUCAAUUCAUUUGUGCUCUCUAUGCUUCCGUCAUCACCUUCACCAUUCUUUCUCCCUUUUCUUCAAAAUUAUCUCAUAAUUUAGGUUUUCUUAUUGGGGAUAUUUCUUGCAAAAACAAACUUCUAUAAAAGGAAAGAAAUCGGAUGGUGGGGACAUGAUUCACAUAACCGAGUGCUACUUUUUGCAGUACUCCUCUUUUGUUGUGCAGCUUUUGUACAGAAGAUCUGAGAUUGAUAUUUUAUGUAUUCACAAGAUUAGCGCUAAGCAUAGAAUAAUGUCCAGAUUGACGGUUUUCACUUGAUUUCUUCUCCUUUAACAGAUCAGUGGAUCUCUCUAGUCCUAUGCCAUGUACCUGAAGAGAAACGUCUGAUGCUAUGAAGCUACAAUUACAUGUAAUCC